rnacentral:rRNA from 1 species
GUAGUUUGAUCAUGGCUCAGGAUGAACGCUGGCGGCGUGCUUAACACAUGCAAGUCGAACGAAGCAUCUUAGAAUGAGUUUUCGGACAAGUGAAGAGAUGACUUAGUGGCGGACGGGUGAGUAACGCGUGGGUAACCUGCCUCGUACAGGGGGAUAACAGUUAGAAAUGACUGCUAAUACCGCAUAACCCGCUAAGGUCGCAUGACCUGGACGGAAAAGAUUUAUCGGUACGAGAUGGACCCGCGUCUGAUUAGCUAGUUGGUGAGGUAACGGCUCACCAAGGCGACGAUCAGUAGCCGGCCUGAGAGGGUGAACGGGCCACAUUGGGACUGAGACACGGCCCAAACUCCUACGGGAGGCAGCAGUGGGGAAUAUUGCACAAUGGGGGAAACCCUGAUGCAGCGACGCCGCGUGAGUGAAGAAGUAUUUCGGUAUGUAAAGCUCUAUCAGCAGGGAAGAAAAUGACGGUACCUGACUAAGAAGCCCCGGCUAACUACGUG